rnacentral:lncRNA from 1 species
AAAGAAGGUAGGAAGGGAGGGAGGGAGGAAGGAGAGACCAAAACCUGUUUCUUAUUUUCUUACUAGCACCCGUUUAACAGCUGGGAGCUGGGAACACCCCCCAGUCUUGCAUGCCUCAGAGGGGGAGCCAGCAAGACAACCAGAGCACCUUCAACUGAUUUCUUUUGUUUUCUCUUUCAGCCAAUCUCCCCAGCAGGCCACAGGCAAUGUGAAGUAUUCAUCUAGACAGCCAACAUUUCCUGACUUCCAGCAUUGCCAAUUCCAAGUUCCAUCUAAUCAGAAGCUCCGUGGCUCCUUGAAACAUGCUGUUGAGCGCUGACUGUGUGUUCUACUGAAGGAGUAAAACACUGACUAUCCAAAGAGAAAAGGAUAUUUUUGUUUUUAUAAUAAUCAUAUAUUAUUGUUUAUUGUUUCCUUCUUCCCUUUCUAUGCAACUGUAAAUUAAUGAACAGAGUGGUAUUUGGAAAUGGUAAUACAUUUGUCACUGAUUAGUAUACUGUAUACAGCAUUGGGAAAGUGGGUGGGGGCUUUCUAAUAUGAUACCUUCUUUUUAAUAACCAUGACAAAAAUUGCAAGAAUUAGAAAACAAUGUUACAUUUUUACAUUCCUUCAUAUUAACCUUGUACAAUAACUUCAUUUAUUUUUUCCACUCUUUUACCAUUACGUUUUGGUUAUUUAUAACUCAUCAGCCACAUGACCAAAUAGAUUUCCUUGUAUUUGUUUCCAUGAUUUGGCCAAAUUAAUAAGUUCGUACGUUUCAAUCAAAGAUUUAUGUAUAUGAAUUAGGCUACAUCUCUGUGUAUACCGCUUAACUCUACUUGACGACAUACGCUUCGGUUCUUUAGUGACCACUUGGAUAACCACAGGAAAAGUCCUGUGGGGCCUACCUGAAAUUCCCAUUGGGAUUUGUUUCCUGCAUUUUAUUUCCCUGCUCUGUGUAAGUACGUCUUGAUUCCUUUAUUUAUUUCAUGUCCCAAUCUAUAUGCUAGAGGAGACUCCAAGCAGGAUUGUAAGAAUCUCAAAGAUCAUUUCACCAAAGGUUACCCAUUUAAGUCUAUUUUCGUUUUGACAUAGAAACAAAACAUGAGAUAACAUUUCCUUAGUUGCGGAGUCUUGAUUUUCAUCGUUAAAUACACAGCAGACCUUGACUUAAUUGUGCUACCAGGACACAUCUUUGUCUUUAAUCCCCUUUGAGGCGGAUUUUAUUUGUGUUUAUGUAUACUCAAGCCAUUUGUAAUUCUUGAAAUUCCCAGUUGUUUUCUUUCUGACAGCAGACACAAAUUUAAUGCAUGUUUCAUUUUACCUUUUGGGUGAAUGAU